CGGGGGUCCUACACAUGCAGUCGAGCGGCAGCGGGAAGUAGCUUGCUACUUUGCCGGCGAGCGGCGGACGGGUGAGUAAUGUCUGGGAAACUGCCUGAUGGAGGGGGAUAACUACUGGAAACGGUAGCUAAUACCGCAUGACCUCGCAAGAGCAAAGUGGGGGACCUUCGGGCCUCACGCCAUCGGAUGUGCCCAGAUGGGAUUAGCUAGUAGGUGAGGUAAUGGCUCACCUAGGCGACGAUCCCUAGCUGGUCUGAGAGGAUGACCAGCCACACUGGAACUGAGACACGGUCCAGACUCCUACGGGAGGCAGCAGUGGGGAAUAUUGCACAAUGGGCGCAAGCCUGAUGCAGCCAUGCCGCGUGUGUGAAGAAGGCCUUAGGGUUGUAAAGCACUUUCAGCGAGGAGGAAGGGUUCAGUGUUAAUAGCACUGUGCAUUGACGUUACUCGCAGAAGAAGCACCGGCUAACUCCGUGCCAGCAGCCGCGGUAAUACGGAGGGUGCAAGCGUUAAUCGGAAUUACUGGGCGUAAAGCGCACGCAGGCGGUUUGUUAAGUCAGAUGUGAAAUCCCCGAGCUUAACUUGGGAACUGCAUUUGAAACUGGCAAGCUAGAGUCUUGUAGAGGGGGGUAGAAUUCCAGGUGUAGCGGUGAAAUGCGUAGAGAUCUGGAGGAAUACCGGUGGCGAAGGCGGCCCCCUGGACAAAGACUGACGCUCAGGUGCGAAAGCGUGGGGAGCAAACGGAUAAAC
rnacentral:rRNA from 1 species